rnacentral:rRNA from 1 species
CUUUGGAGUUGGCUCUUGUCUAUGUUCCUUGGAACAGGACGUCACAGAGGGUGAGAAUCCCGUGCGAUGAGAUGCCCAAUUCUAUGUAAAGUGCUUUCGAAGAGUCGAGUUGUUUGGGAAUGCAGCUCUAAGUGGGUGGUAAAUUCCAUCUAAAGCUAAAUAUUGGCGAGAGACCGAUAGCGAACAAGUACAGUGAUGGAAAGAUGAAAAGAACUUUGAAAAGAGAGUGAAAAAGUACGUGAAAUUGUUGAAAGGGAAGGGCUUGAGAUCAGACUUGGUAUUUUGCAAGCCUUACCUUCGUGGUGGGGUCCCCUGCAGUUUACUGGGCCAGCAUCGGUUUGGAUGGUAGGAUAAUGACUUGGGAAUGUGACUUUGCUUCGGUAAAGUGUUAUAGCCCUUGUUGAUACUGCCUGUCUAGACCGAGGACUGCGUCUUUUGACUAGGA